rnacentral:rRNA from 1 species
UGAGGAAUAUUGGUCAAUGGGCGCAAGCCUGAACCAGCCAUCCCGCGUGCAGGAAGACGGCCCUAUGGGUUGUAAGCUGCUUUUCCGGGGGGAGAAUUUUCCUGUCGUGACAGGAAUUGACGGUACCUUGGGAAUAAGCAUCGGCUAACUCCGUGCCAGCAGCCGCGGUAAUACGGAGGAUGCGAGCGUUAUCCGGAUUUAUUGGGUUUAAAGGGUGCGUAGGCGGAUUGAUAAGUCAGUGGUGAAAACCUGCAGCUGAACUGUAGACUUGGCGUUGAUACUGUCAGUCUUGAGUGUGGUCAAGGUAGGCGGAAUGUGUAAUGUAGCGGUGAAAUGCUUAGAUAUUACGCAGAACACCGAUUGCGAAGGCAGCUUACUGGGCCAUUACUGACGCUGAUGCACGAAAGCGUGGGGA